CACCAAAUGUCUGAUCGACUAAUGAGGAACGAUGAAGCCAAACACUUCCAGACAUGUUUGUUAAAAUAGGACAUUUAUGCAUGUAGUUUGUUUACAUUCUGGCCGGAAGUUCAAGAUCCUGGUGGGGUGAGCAGAACACAGCCUUAGGUUGAUUUCUAUUUUGGCUAUAGGACAUACCUUCUGCUAUUAUUUAACGUUUACGCAAUUGAAAUGUAGACUGGGUACACACGAAGCUAUUGUUAAGGCUUUUUGGAUGUUUGGCGACACAAUCAGACGCGAAAGAAUGGAGGCAAGUACGGUAUACGCUGGUCGUUUUCUGUCGAUCUAGCUGAGCAGGAGCGGAAGUUGAGGCUGGCUGAAUCAAAGGUGCUGUCUGAGGGGGCCACAGGGGACGCCAAGUACUUUAAGCUUGGUGCUUUGAUAGAAAAAGAAUCGCUCAACGCUUUGAGAUGCGAACCCACGCCUUACCAAUCUGACGAGAUCAGUUUAGUGGAUCCAGUUCCGUUAUUUCUAAAUGUUGACAGCCUGCCACCUAUCAAGGAGUUACCGAGACCGGUGAAUGGGUACUCAGAGUAUCCCCCUGAUGAGGUCGAGCCCUACAUUCACGCACAUUGGAGUCAAGAGGACUACGAUGAAACAGAUUCAGACUAGUAACACAUCUGACACUAGUAAAAUUUACUACAUACAA